UUGGCGCUGGUGCGAACUUGCUUCAUGAAUCAGCUCCAAGAAGGUUGAAAUCUAAAAGAUGAAACUGUGUGCUUCAAUUUAAAGCAAUUUUACUGCAGCAAAACAGGCUAUCAGAAGUACUUAUUCUACAAAAUAUCUAUUUGAUCGUCUGUAACACACGUGGAAGAGGAAUCGACUGAAAAUCCAGUGAACACAUCUGCAAGGAAAAUAAAACAAAAAAAACUUGCAGUUUAGUGUCACAUUCAAAGGGAUGAUGCCCAACUUGUUCAAUAAAAACAGAAGUAUUUUGUCUUGUAAGGAGAGACCCAUAUUAAAUUCUCUCUGUAAAAGAUCAUUAAAAACAAGAUUAAGAUUCUUAAACCUUCCGACACAUGAAUUCUCUUAUAGAAUUACUAGAGAAUUAAAUCCUGAAGUUGGUAGGUGACUCUAAUGAUAGGCUUGAAAAUGGAUAAACCAAGUCAGAAAUGGCAGCUGUAGUUGCUACAAACUAGCAGUACAUGCCAACAUAAAGAGCAAGUUGGCCUCGAGAAGUUGAUCAUGAACGCCCAUACUCUGAGGUGUAGGAAUUUCAAGUCAUCACGCUUGCUUAUCACUGCCAAUCUCAGACUCAAGUAUAAGUAGGAUAGCUCCGACAGGGUUGUCAUCCCUUCGCUUCCAUUCUCAAAGUUUGUCCAGACAGAGAAAUGGUGAAGAAAGCAACCUUGGUGAUUGCUUUGACAUGGCUUCUAGUUGUGGCAUCCAUUGUCAUGUGUGCAAAUGCAACAGCAGGCCCUCGCCUGCAGACUUUUGAGCAUAUGGUUCAUCCCCAAGGUUGUCGUUGCUGCUUUUUCGUCGGGAGGGUUCCAAACCUCCGUUGUGGCAAGGUGUGCUGCGGGGAUAAUUGUUGCUAAGAAACUAUGGAGUUCUCAUGUAGCCCACCAAAUAAAAUCUUCCCUGCUGAAAAAUAACACGGAAGAUGAAUAAGCUCUCUACAAUGCUUAGGAUUUUCUAAGUAUGUUUCUGUAUCAGUUGUACUUUUGACUUGUAAUAAAUCUAAUUUUCUCAA